CCCAUGUACGGCGCGUGAGGCGGGGGAAGAGGUGGGGUGGGGGGGUGGGCCGGAAGAACUGGGCGGAAAGGGCGCGUAGGCGGCGUGUCGCGUUGUGUGUGAAAAUUUACCGGUCAACGGUGAACUUGCGGGCGAUACGGGCAGGCUAGAGUACUGCAGGGGAGACUGGAAUUCCUGGUGUAGCGGUGAAAUGCGCAGAUAUCAGGAGGAACACCGGUGGCGAAGGCGGGUCUCUGGGCAGUAACUGACGCUGAGGAGCGAAAGCGUGGGGAGCGAACAGGAUUAGAUACCCUAGUAGUC
rnacentral:rRNA from 1 species